rnacentral:lncRNA from 1 species
CCCAGCUACUUGGGAGGCUGAGGCAAGAGAACGGCGUGAACCCGGGAGGCGGAGCUUGCAGUGAGCCGAGAUAGCGCCACUGCACUCCAGCCUGGGUGACAGAGCGAGACUCCAUCUCAAAAUAAAUAAAUAAAAUAAAAUAAUUAGCCAGGCGAGGUGGCGGGCACCUGUAGUCCCAGCUACUCGGGAGGCUGAGGCAGGAGAAUGGCGUGAACCCGGGAGGCGCAGCUUGCGGUGAGCCGAGAUUGCGCCACUGCACUCCAGCCUGGGCAACAGAGUGAGACUCUGUCUCAAAAAAAAAAAAAAAAAAGAUAUGACUUGGGAAGUGAAAUUCUCUAAUCUGAAACUUUAUUGCAAAAAUUGUGGGCAUCUAGGAGAACUGGAGUUGUGAGCAGGUCAGAAGAGAAACUUUGCUGCUUCCUUUGUCAAUGCUGUAUGGAGAGAAAUUUGAGAUGCUUUGGAUAUUAAAAGAAAGACUGGAAGGCAGAAGAUACUGAAUUAACCACACCAAUGAAGAGCGGUAAGCAGACCAUGCGAGUAGCAAGACUAUUUCUGCAGAGUUCAUAACAGGAGCUCAUGUCUUUGCAGCUCUUCUCACCAAGAAUUGGAGUCUAUUUUCUCAACUCAUUAAAUCUGAGCUGGCUGUGUGACUUGCUUUGGCCAAAAAGACUUUAGCAAAUAAGAUAUAAGCACAAGCAGAGGUUUGAAAAGUGCUGGUUCGCUGGGGCUUACUGUAUUACUGCUCUUGAAAUGCUGAGAUGACCAUGUGAAUGAAUCCAAGGAAGCCUCCUGGAAGAUGAGAAUGCUGCAUAGAAGAAAACAGAGGUCUCCAGCUGACAGCCUGCCAAACACUAGAAAUGUGAAUGAGGCCAUUCUGGAUCAUCUUGUCACCAGCUGACCUCCCAGCUGACUAUCAGUGCAUGAGCAAACCCAGAAAAGAUGAGCUGAGCCAGUCCAGUGUAGAAGAAUUGCCCAGCCAACCCACAGAAUAAUGAGCUGAAUAAAAUGUUGUUUUAAGCCAUUAAGUUUGUGAUGUUUUAUUACUCAGUAAUAGCUAA